rnacentral:rRNA from 1 species
CACAUGCAAGUCGAACGAAGCACUUAUUUGAUUUCCUUCGGGACUGAUUAUUUUGUGACUGAGUGGCGGACGGGUGAGUAACGCGUGGGUAACCUGCCUUGUACAGGAGGAUAACAGUUGGAAACGGCUGCUAAUACCGCAUAAGCGCACAGCAUCGCAUGAUGCAGUGUGAAAAACUCCGGUGGUAUAAGAUGGACCCGCGUUGGAUUAGCUAGUUGGUGAGGUAACGGCCCACCAAGGCGACGAUCCAUAGCCGACCUGAGAGGGUGACCGGCCACAUUGGGACUGAGACACGGCCCAAACUCCUACGGGAGGCAGCAGUGGGGAAUAUUGCACAAUGGGCGAAAGCCUGAUGCAGCGACGCCGCGUGAGCGAAGAAGUAUUUCGGUAUGUAAAGCUCUAUCAGCAGGGAAGAUAAUGACGGUACCUGACUAAGAAGCACCGGCUAAAUACGUGCCAGCAGCCGCGGUAAUACGUAUGGUGCAAGCGUUAUCCGGAUUUACUGGGUGUAAAGGGAGCGCAGGCGGUGCGGCAAGUCUGAUGUGAAGCCCGGGGCUCAACCCCGGUACUGCAUUGGAAACUGUCGUACUAGAGUGUCGGAGGGGUAAGCGGAAUUCCUAGUGUAGCGGUGAAAUGCGUAGAUAUUAGGAGGAACACCAGUGGCGAAGG